rnacentral:tRNA from 1 species
GGUGCGGUGGCGAAGUGGUUAACGCGGCGGCCUGCAAAGCCGCUACUCGAGGGUUCGAAUCCCUCCCGCACCUCCA